GAUGAACGCUGGCGGCGUGCUUAACACAUGCAAGUCGAACGAUGAAGCCCAGCUUGCUGGGUGGAUUAGUGGCGAACGGGUGAGUAACACGUGAGUAACCUGUCCUUAACUCUGGGAUAAGCCUGGGAAACUGGGUCUAAUACCGGAUAGGAGCGUCCACCGCAUGGUGGGUGUUGGAGAGAUUUAUCGGUUUUGGAUGGACUCGCGGCCUAUCAGCUUGUUGGUGAGGUAAUGGUUCACCAAGGCGACGACGGGUAGCCGGCCUGAGAGGGUGACCGGCGACACUGGGACUGCGACAGGGCCCAGACUCCUACGGGAGGCAGCAGGGGGGGAUAUUGCACAAUGGGCGCAAGCCUGAUACAACGGCGCCGCGUGAGGGAUGACGGCCUUCGGGUUGUAAACCUCUUUCAGUAGGGAAGAAGCGAAAGUGACGGUACCUGAAGAAGAAGCACCGGCUAACUACGUG
rnacentral:rRNA from 1 species